UCAAACUUGUCUAAGCAAAACUAAGAAUUUGA
rnacentral:piRNA from 1 species